rnacentral:lncRNA from 1 species
AGAGAGAAGGUUAAGAGCAACAAGAUGGGAGGCAGCUGCAUGGAACCUGUCCCACUGAGGAAGUAAAACAGGAAUCCAAAAUAAAACGUUUGCUGGGAAUUAUAAAGAAUUUCAUUGAGAAAGUAAAAAAGAAAAAUCUAUGCAAAGGAAGUGAUUCUGUUGUUUAAUGCCAUCACCUGUCAUUCUGUCUCUUACCAUGGCUGGCUUGGCUAGUGGCACCACGAACAGAUCCCUACAGACCCCAACACCAAGAAAAAGUUUUACUCUUGUUGCCCAGGCUGGAGCGCAAUGGUGCGAUCUCGGCUCACCGCAAUCUCUGCCUCCUGAGUUCAAGCGAGGAGCAACCCUACCUGAUGGACUGGACUUCUGCCUGGAUUGGAGUUUGAUCAUGCCUCCAUAUGGGUGUUUACCAGGCGUAUGCAUUGAACCUGAGUUUGUCUCUUCAAUACAAGGAAAAUCUCUGCCGCUUAGUGAUUUUCCAAGAAACAUGAGCUUCUGCCUUUCAAUGAGGAAGAUACUCAGAAGUCAUGUUCGAGCACUCCGGAAAAUGUCCUUGGAGUUUCAACAUUUCUUUGGUCUUCCACAUUUCAUUUUGUCCUGAUUAAAGAGGAAGCCAGUUGCUGUUUGUGUGGCCAUGUGAGCAGGCAGGGAGAUGGUGGCUGCCUAGAAGCCAAGAGAAGUGGCCUCAAGAUGAAAUCUACCUUGCUGGUACUUUGAUCUUGGACUUGCAGCCUCCAGAACUGUGAGGCUUGUCCAUUUUAAUGAGAAGCUUAUGUGGCAUGGAACUGAGUUCACCCCCAACCAGCAGCUGGUGAGGAAUGGAGCUCUUCGUUCAAUGACUCAUAAUGAGCUUUGAGACAACCAAAGCCCCCUAGCUAACCUGUGCCUGGAUUCCUGGCCCACAAAGACAGUGAGAGAGGGACCCAACUCAGCCCAUGAAGCCACUGAAAUACAGGAAAGAGCAUCUUCAUUGAAGCCACUGGAGCAUGGGAAAGAGCACCACCAGCUCCCUGCUCGCUAGCUGUGAACCUCAGGAUGGAAUAGAAGAUGGAUAAAAAGCUUCUACUGCAGCCUGGGCCCAGUUCACUUUCUCUCUUGGCUCCAAUCCUGGUGGACACAGUAGGGGCUCCUCAAAAGCUCCACCCAUCACCUCCUUGAAUCACUGCAUCAUCUACUUCACACUGGGGCACAGACAAUUGGAUGGCUUCUUUGAUCUCUGUCUAGCACUUGAUCGUAUGAUGUGAAACUGGAAGCACAGAGGAAUCAAACAAACAUUGUCUUAUGAAAUUCAGUAUCUUCCACCUGAAUGCCUAAAGCCUGGAUGGUUGCCUAUCUUGCAGAGAUGGGCAGGGCCAAGGUUUUCCACAGAAAACAGUUCUGAGCUGCUUGAACAUAAGGACAAAUGCUUGAUCAAGGUCCUUAACAAUUUUUGGCAUGGAGUGUUGUUGUAUAAUUGUAGCCUGGAAAAUAUUCACAGCAGGUGUUACCAAUUGCCCUCAUAAGGAUAUUGAAUUUUAAGAAAUUAAAUUCUGGGUGAGUCUUCCAAGAUAAACUGGCUGCAACGCAUGCCUCUUAGUAGCAGCCAUGGUUUGAAUGUUUGCCUCUUCCCAGACUCACAGUGAGAUCUGAUUGCCAUUAUAAUGGUAUAGGGAGAGGAGACCUUUGAGUGGUGAUUGGGCUGUGAGGGCUCUGUCCUCCAGAAUGGAUUAAUGUCGUUAUCAUGGAGUGGAUUCAUUGGUAAGUUCAGACCCCUUUCUCUCUUUCUCUCACUCUGCUGCCUUUCGCCAUAUGAUGACAUAUCAAGAAGGCCCUCACCAGAUACUGGUAUCUUGAUAUUGAACUUCCCAGACUAAAGAACUUUGAACCAAUAAAUUUGUUUAUGAUAAAUUACUCAUUCUCAAACAUUCUGUUAUAGAAGAACAAAGUCAACUAAAACAAUAGCUGAUGAUUUGACCUGCUAUUUGUUUGACAUACGCUAUUCAAUUGAGCUCCAAUGACCCCAAAAAUGAAGAUUUCUGUUUUAACAUAAUUUCAUUUAUUAUGCACUUCCCAUGUGUCAGAUCUAGGAAAACCAAAGAUACCUAAGGCAGAGAUCGAAAAAAAACCAAACCAAAAAAACAAAACAGACAAAAAAAACCACAUUGAGAGAAUUUAAAUGUAAUAUAUUGAAUGUUAGGAUAGAGAUACAGGCAGAAUCUACACAAAGGCAGAGCAGAGCAGGGUGAUGCAUCUCCAAAUUAAGGGGCUAUAAGGAUGUCUUUGUGGAGGAAAUGAUGGCUGAACUAAACCGUAAGGAAUGAAAAAGUGUUCAUGGGGCAGGAAGUGCGGAAGGUGAUUGUAGGUGAAGAAAACAGAAAAAUGGAGAGAACCUUGUCUCUCAUCAUCAUUAGGUAGCUAGAUCCAUCAUCCUUUGUGUAAAUUUCUCGUGGAAAAAAAAAAAAGCCACAGGUACAGCCCAGAGGAGAAUGUCUGGUUCUGUGCAAUGUCAGGAGACUACGAG